CUCAACCCAAUUUUUUCCUAAUGACAACCUUAUGAGGUAGGUUGAAGAACGAGUGACUGCCCAAGAAUUUCAUGAUUCUCGGGAAAACUCUGAUAUAAGAUGAUGUGCGCAUGAAGUAACACCAACAAUUUGUGGUGAAAGUACAAAAGCAAAGAGAGAGCUAAAGGCUGGAAGAUUGAGGGAUAUAACAUGCAAUUUGUCUGUUGGGAAUUCUGCUUGCCAUCACUUAUCGUUCCACCUGUAACCCGGUCCUUAUCCAAAGGGGCAGCUUCUGGGAAGUCACAACCAGAACAAGGAAACAGGGAACAUUUCUUUGGAAGUUUGGCAAAGGGAGUUGGCAGAGAAGGAUCCAAGGAACUUGGGCAGCAAGGGAAGCAUCAUUGUGAUCUGCAAAAUGGGUGCAAUGUUUGCAGUUCUGCCUGAAGAGGAAUCAGACCAUACUUGCUGUAGUGUAAUCUAAGAAAUCUAUUGGAGAAGAAAAUCAUGGGGCUUGAGAAGAGUUGCUACAUUGAAAUGCAUCAGGGAAGAUGAGAGGUUCCUGGACAGAAUAGCUGAAGCUCUCCAGGAAGAGCAAAGAAAUGAAAAAAACAGCAAAGACCAGGAACAACUCCAUUUGGCAGAGAUAAACACAUGGAAGAAUGUGACUCAGAGAAGCAAGUGGAACUCAGACUCCCCUUCUAGAGAAUGAACAGCAGCUCUUUGAGCAAACUAUGCCAUAGAACAUUGUAGAAGACACUUGAGACCUCAUGAAUUAAAGUAACCCAAGAGCCGUCCUGAGAAAGAAGAGUUAUGUCAUGAUGAGUGAUUCCCCAAGAGGAGCUAAGGCAGCUGUAUGCAGACAUGAUUUGUUGUUGUGGGAGUUGUGUUGUUUUCCAGUUGCCUGUAUAUAGGAUGUGAUGAGAUUACCAAAAUUUUUCAGACUUACCAACAACUAUCCUUUUCCCUUGAUCCACAUCAGGAUGAAUGACACAGCCAGAUGAGAUCUUGGAAAACAAUCUGUGUAGAUUAUAAUGCCUUAGGCAAAAAGGUGAAAAAUUGGGACCACAGGUUGUUUUUUAAUCAAUACUUCCAGCUAAGAGGCAUGGCACAAGCAGAGAAAAGAGGAUCGUGGAAGUCAACAAGUGCAUCAGAUGACCAGUCUUUCAAAGAGGCAUGCAAUAGUGAUAAGGAGUGAUUUCAAUUACCUCGACAUCUGCUGGGAAUUGAACUCUGCCAAGGGUCAGAGAUACAAACAAUUCUUUUCCUCUCUUGCUGACCACUUCAUUUGUCAGAAGGUAGAAGGAAGAACAAAUAAGUCUGCUAUUCCAUGUGUAAUCCUCAUCAACUCUGGGUAAUUUGUUGAAGAAGAGUGUGACAGACACCUUGUAGGGAAGUGAUCUUGUUAUCCUUGAAUUUGUGAUGGUCAAAGGAGGAGGAACUGAAAAGAGUAACACCUGCAUACUCAACUUCAGAAGAGUUGAUUGUGAUGAACUCUAAGGGAAAGUAGGUUAGAGCCAAAGACUUCAAAUCCUGAAGGAGAAAAGUGUCCAGACAGGAUGGGAAGUUCUGUGAAAUGAGAUACUGAAGAUGCAGUUGCAAGCAAUUCCCACAAGAAAGAAAAAUGUGAGAAAUCUAAAAGAGGCCAAUGUGAAUACAUGCAGAGCUCUCUAAAAAUGUUGAAAAGAAAAAGGGACAUGUAUAGGAGAUGAAAGGAGGGGAACAUAACCAAAGAAGAAUACAAGGUAGUCUCCAAAAACUGUAGAAACUGUCAGAAAAGCUAAAGUUCAGAAUUGCAAGAGACACAGAAGAGAGAGAGACACACACACACAAACAAAAAAGAGUCUCUGGUAAUGUUAAAAAGAAAGCCAAAGAAGAAGUAUUAGGGGAACAUACUGCACCCGGACCGCAACAAAGCCUUUGAUAGAGUGCCUCAUAAUAUUCGUCAUAAAAUGAGAAAAUGUGGGUUGGAUGA